UGAUGUGAGGGUGACUGACUGAGACAUUUGUCACCCCAUUGAUUACUAGGGUUGAUUUGCCUGAUCCGGCUAGCUAGGCAGGUGUCUUCCUCCUCUCUCACCCCUCCAUGUUCACUCUGGCCAAAGCUGUACACUGAGUUCAAGAGGAUGACCUUCCCAGGUAGAGGAGGCCCUUCUUUUGGUCAGUGGUAUACCAAGAGAUGCACACCCCAGCUAGAACCUCCAAACAAGCUCUCGAGGUACAAAUGCUUCUGGGGGGAGAGGCUAAAUGUGUGGGGUGAAUUCCCACUAGUU
rnacentral:snRNA from 1 species